UACGUAGGUGGCUAGCGUUGUCCGGAUUUACUGGGCGUAAAGAGCGCGCAGGCGGUCGUUCAAGUCGAGUGUGAAAGCCCCCGGCUCAACUGGGGAGGGUCACUCGAUACUGAUCGACUUGAAGGCGGGAGAGGGAAGCGGAAUUCCCGGUGUAGUGGUGAAAUGCGUAGAUAUCAAGAGGAACACCUGCGGCGAAGGCGGGUUGCUGGGCCGACACUGACGCUGAAGCGCGAAAGCUAGGGGAGCGAACGGG
rnacentral:rRNA from 1 species